ensembl:lncRNA
CUGGGCCCUAGGGGCAACCCUGGCAGCUUGAGUCAGCUCCCUCCUCUGAUGUCCAGUUACUCUAAGGAGAGUGUUUUUGAGGGCCUACUCUGUGCAGGUACUAUGCUGGGUACUGGAGUACAAGCACGCGGAGGACUCAGUCCCUGCCCUUGAGAAACCACAGGAUGGUGGAGGAGACAGAUAAUCAGUGCCUUCUGCACAGAGUGAAGACCUGGAACACUCCUUCAUUCGGCUGACUGCUGCUGCCUCAGCAUCAUCCCUGUGGAAGCCUGCUUCACGUACCGAUGAGGUCGCCCUCCUGUCUGCAUCUCUGAGAGUCAUGGUUACGAUUCUGCACUGGGGGCUUCUUCCCCCACUAGCCUGACACUAUGCUCAGAGAGCUUGUCGCUUGCCCAGUAUCUCACAGCAAGGACCCAAACGGAGCUCCCGCUGGCUCCCACCUCCCGGCCUCUGCUCCCUGACACUGGGGAUCCAUGACCCCACACCCUCCCAUCUCCUUCCCGGCUCAUCUCCUUCCCAGCUCAUUUCCUCCGGAUGAUAAGAGCUGGGUGGUAAUAUACAUACUCUUCCUUUCCAACUGCAACUCUCCAUUGCUUUUGGCAGCAAAAGCUCUGCUCAGGGUCAAGAUGAGAGAGUGACUGGUACUAGCCAAAGAAAAUUGAGAUGUAUUCUUACAGCGCAUUGAAUGAUGGCCCCCCAAAUAUAUGUCUGCAUCCUGAUCCCCAGAAUCUGUGCAUGUUACUUGAUCUGGAAAAAGGGUCUUUGCAGACAUAAUUCAAUUAAGAAUCUUGAGAUGACAUCUCCCUGGAUUAUCCAGUGGGCUUUAAAUUAGAUGACCUGUGUCCUUAUUAUUAAAAGGGCAGAGAGAGGUUUGAAACAGACAGAAGAGAAGAAGAUGCUGAGAGGAGAAGGCGGUGUGAAGACAGAGGCAGAGAUUGGACUGAUGUGGUUACAAACCAAGGAGUGUCGGCAGCCACUAGAAAGGAAGAGAGAGUCGUGGAGUGGAUUCUCUCCCAGAGCCUCGGAAGGAAGUGUGGCCCCACUGACAGCACGAUUGUGGACUUCUGCCUCCAGAACUUGAGAGAGUACAUUUGUAUUGUUUUAACUCAUCCAGUUGGUGGUAAUUUGUUACAGCAGCCCUAUGAAAGUAAUAGAAUUCUGAAAUGCUAUCUGCUCACAAAUUUCAACGUGAAAGAUAUAAACACCCAAACCUCAGUCCAGAUUCCAAUGGUGAGAAGCCCCCAUGGAAGCCUCGACAGCCCCUUUGGACUCAGCAGUCCCGCGGAGUAUUUCCCCAGGGUUUCCUGACGCCCCUGCCUCCUCCCUCAGAGCUUUGACCCUGCCACUCUAUUGCGGGUCCUGUGUAACCUUCCCCAGAAAUGCACUUGGCUGAGCCCCACACCGCAGCUCUUAGGAUGUUUAGGACUAUUUUUCACCUACCCAAGUUCCAGGGUUCUAGGGCGUAGGAAAGUAUUAAAAUGUGCCUGAAAACCUUAUAACAAGGAUCUGUCAAUUCUGGGUCUGGGAGUGUAGGCCUGUCUUUGCAGCACCAGGCUUGUACCACAGUGUGGUCAACAUUAAGGACUAGAUACUGCGUGCUGAGUGGUUAAAUCUAGCAUAUAUUCCUACCAGACUUGCCCGGGCGAACAGGGAACAGGAGGAAGUUGUAUUCUCAUUUCCUCCACAUCUCCUUCAAAAGCUUCCACACCCCUAAGCCCUCAGGGCUUCUGUGCUGGUCCGAUCUUCUCUCUGCAGGGCCCAUUCUGCUCCUCCUCUCCCCCUACCCACAAAAUGAACCUGUCCCAGGCCUGUUGGUCCAGGCCUUUCUCCAAUGUUAAGGGACAAUUAUCAUUAGUGCAUUAAUGAGGUCAGCUCAGGAGUUUGACAAAUUUCUCAUGAUGGAAACCAGAUGGAGGAAGGUGGGUUGCGCGGUGUACCCGUGGGCGGAUUCAUAGUUGGCUGAAGGCAUUCACUCUGAAAAAAAUCCCUGGCCUUCUGAAGCCAGGUUUCUUGCCCUUGGGCCAAUCCUAGUCAACAUUUCAAUCAAUGAUUUGAAUAAAGUCAAAGAGGAAAGCUUAUCUAAUUUGCAAAUGACCAAACUCUGAGCAAUGUAGAAAACAUAUUUGUGCACAUGCUCAGUAU